rnacentral:lncRNA from 10 species
AGCCCGGGCAGUAGAGCGAGACUGCUCCCAAAAUUAAAUUAAAUAAAUAGUGGUUUAUUGACUCUUCUAAAAUAUUCUCAGAAUUAGAUAUCCUGGCAGAACGAGAACCAAGAGAGAGGGAAAGAAAGUGAAUACAGGGAAGAGGAGAGCAUCGGACAGAACAAAGCCCUGAGCAGGCGAUUGGUGAUACUGGCAGCAAGGCUGGCCUUGAAGGGGAGGAGAGACGGGAAGGCAGGUGGUGAGAAAUGGCGGCAGAGGCAGAGAAGUUUGUAUCAGAGACAGGGAGGAAAUGAGGGCAUUCUCUUAUGAUGAUCUCCACCCUCUUGGUGAGGGAGGAAGCAUAGCUGUCGGCUGAAAAUGAGGGAGAGAAGCAAAAAUUUCGAGUCGUUAUUGAAGGAAUGGGAGAGGGAUCUGUAGAGGAACCCACAGGAUUGCUAGAAGAAUGUUUGACUUGGACAGACUCUUCAGGCCUUAACUCCUCAUCUAUAAGCCCCAGGGUUGCAACGAAUACGUUGAGGGUGCGAACUCGUCUAGGCCCCGUGUACUUGGCCUAUGCUGCCCCCUGCUGAUUGGUCAAGGAAGAGUGCGCAGGUGUAAAGGUUGAAGAUGCCCAGCACAGACACGCCGUGGG